AUUGAACGCUGGCGGCAGGCCUAACACAUGCAAGUCGGACGGUAGCACAGAGAGCUUGCUCUUGGGUGACGAGUGGCGGACGGGUGAGUAAUGUCUGGGGAUCUGCCCGAUAGAGGGGGAUAACCACUGGAAACGGUGGCUAAUACCGCAUAACGUCGCGAGACCAAAGAGGGGGACCUUCGGGCCUCUCACUAUCGGAUGAACCCAGAUGGGAUUAGCUAGUAGGCGGGGUAAUGGCCCACCUAGGCGACGAUCCCUAGCUGGUCUGAGAGGAUGACCAGCCACACUGGAACUGAGACACGGUCCAGACUCCUACGGGAGGCAGCAGUGGGGAAUAUUGCACAAUGGGCGCAAGCCUGAUGCAGCCAUGCCGCGUGUAUGAAGAAGGCCUUCGGGUUGUAAAGUACUUUCAGCGGGGAGGAAGGCGGUGAGGUUAAUAACCUCACCGAUUGACGUUACCCGCAGAAGAAGCACCGGCUAACUCCGUGCCAGCAGCCGCCGUAA
rnacentral:rRNA from 1 species